GUAGUCAUAUGCUUGUCUCAAAGAUUAAGCCAUGCAUGUCUAAGUAUAAGCAAUUAUACCGCGAAACUGCGAAUGGCUCAUUAUAUAAGUUAUCGUUUAUUUGAUAGUACCUUACUACUUGGAUAACCGUGGUAAUUCUAGAGCUAAUACAUGCUAAAAAUCCCGACUUCGGAAGGGAUGUAUUUAUUAGAUUAAAAGCCAAUGCCCUCUGGGCUCUCUGGUGAUUCAUGAUAACUUCUCGAAUCGCAUGGCCUUGCGCCGGCGAUGGUUCAUUCAAAUUUCUUCCCUAUCAACUUUCGAUGUUUGGGUAUUGGCCAAACAUGGUUGCAACGGGUAACGGAGGGUUAGGGCUCGACCCCGGAGAAGGAGCCUGAGAAACGGCUACUACAUCCAAGGGAGGCAGCAGGCGCGCAAAUUACCCAAUCCCGACACGGGGAGGUAGUGACAAUAAAUACUGAUACAGGGCUCUUUUGGGUCUUGUAAUUGGAAUGAGUACAAUUUAAAUCCCUUAACGAGGAGCAAUUGGAGGGCAAGUCUGGUGCCAGCAGCC
rnacentral:rRNA from 1 species